rnacentral:tRNA from 2 species
UUAGCUCAGCUGGAUAGAGCAACGGCCUUCUAAGCCGUAGGUCACAGGUUCGAAUCCUGUAG